CAGGGAUCGAACCUUCGUCCUCACAGAUGCUAGUCAUAAUUCGUUUCCACUGAACCGUGAUGGGAACUCCAAACUAUCUCCAAUUUUGAUUCAAGCUAGAGACACAGGUCUGUGCCCAGUGGGUAGUCCUUAGUGCUAUUGCUCUUCUGCACAUGGCAUUGGUGAUUGAAUGCUGAGGGACUCACACCUCUGUCACCUGGCUCAGGAACUAGUGUCCUGGGGUGUUAUUUCAACUUGACCCAGUUAUUAAAGCAUAGGAACCCCAGUCAUUAAAUAAAGCCAUGUAGCAGUGAGGGUUUGUGUUCUCUGGGCAAGGAUGGGGUUUGGUUGUUUAGGUAGCUGGAAGAUGUUGACGUGGGGUUAGGGACAUAGCUUUGGCUAUUUGGCUUAGGGAAACAGAAGGAGACCUCCAGCAGCAGGAAAUGAACCUCUUCCUCUCCUGUUCUUCAAUCAGGGGCAAAGAUCUGAGAGAGAAACUACCUCCAGGUGGGAGGUAGUAGGUAGGCCUGAAGGUUUUCGGUAAGUAAUGUCCUGUUAGAGAGAUGACAGUCUGAUCUGGUGUGAAUUUCCUUGUGGAUGUCAGAUGUGCACAGACUUGUUUGGCCAUGGUCAGGGAGAAACACAGCUUGAUGCCACUGCUGCUGCUGCUGGAGGCGACUCCUGCAGGGGGCCCAGACUCAGCACUAGAGAAAGGCAGCUUCUACAUGAGGGUGGAAAAUUGCCUCAGGCUUAUUCUUUAACAGCAUGUAAUAUUUGGGGUCUUGGGAAAGUCCCGUGUAUCUUACCUCACUUGUCUCUUUGAGGUCAGAUAACACACAUGUAGUGUAUCACACUAUGUACCAAGACCUCACCACACUAGUGUGCUAUUUCCUACUGCUACCAGAACAUAUAACUGCAAACUUAGGGCCUUAAGACAGCACCCAUUUAUUAUCUCACAGUUUUGCAGGUCAGAAGUCCAGUAGGCUCGGCUGGUUUCUUUCCUUCUGGUAUCACAAGGCCAAAAUCGAGGUGUCGACUGGGCUCCUUUGCCUUCUGGAGGCUGGAGGGGAGAAGCCAUUUCCAGAAUCUUUCAGGUGGUUGGCAGAAUUCAGUAUCUAUAGGACAGAAAUACACAUUUCCUUGCUGGCUGACACAUAAGGGGUCUCCUUAGCAUCUAGAGGCUCUUUUGGGUCACUGUGCACAGUUGCAUGUAGUCUCAAAACAUGUCAGUACUAGCAAGAGUACACAAAAUCCUUUUGUUGUAUUCCAUCUGCCUCUCCUUCUUCUGCCACUUUUCUAUGACUGACUCUUCUGCCUUCCUCGUCUACUUUUAAGUGCUCAAGUGAUUAGACUGGGCCCCUCAGUAAUCCAGGAUAAUCUCCCUAUUUUAAGAUCUGUAACCUUAAUCACACCCGAAAAGUCUCUUUUGCUAUGUCAAGUAACAUAUUCGCAUAUUCCCAGGGACUAGGGCUUGAAAACCUUUGGGAGGCAUUAUUCCUUUCAUAUUUAUGUCCCUCAAUCCUCAUAACAGCCCAGUAAGGGAAGUGUUAUGCAUGUGAAGAAAGUGAAGUUCAGAGAGGUUUAUAUCACAAGUAAUAGAUGGUAGAGCUGGAGUUUGAACCUUGCUUCAGAGCUCACACCCCUUCCUCUGCUAGAGAGAAGGACUAGUGGGAGCAAAGCAAUUGUAUCACCUGUCACUCACCGCAGUUCCCACUAUUGUUUCCCUAGUGCUGCUUCUCAACUUAUUGAGGUCAUCACCACUGUGUCCACCCAAUUUCCGAUUCUCCUCCUACCUCCCCACUAUGGGUUCCACUGGACAUCAGGAAAAAGCAGAGGGACAAGUUUUCCAGAAGAAAAAGAAUGAAUGCUAGAGCACAUGGGUAUCCUUUGAAAUGAGCUGCAGAGGAGCUGUGUUCAUUUCAGGCUCACAGUCUUGUCACCAGUUUCAGAAGAAUUCUGCACCUGCAGCAGCCAGGAAUAUCUGCUGAGGAACCUUUGUCCUCUACCUAAACCAGGACUCUUCAGCCUGGACUGGAAGGCUCCCAUGUACCAACUGCUCCUGCUGCUGCUGCAGCUGCAACUUCUACUCUCUCUCUCCCCAACCACAGGCCCCAUGAACCCCAAUAGUAGGAGGAAAAGGAAAAGUAAUCAAAAUGCUGUGCUUAAAGGGAUGGUUCUCCAAGUGUGGUACCUGGAUCAGCAGCAUCCUCAGCCCCUGGAAACUUGCUGAAAUGCACUCUUGGACCUUUCUCCAGAACCUCUGGAGUGGUGCCUAGCAAUCUGUGUUUCAGGGAGUCUUCCAGGAGAUUCUGGUGCACAGGAAAGUUUUGGGAGCCACCGGCUUAGGGUUUGAUCUCAGAAGUCAGGUGACCUGCCUAGGAGUUCAUCCAUCUUGGUAAAAAUAUCAUCAACUCUUCUGUCCCCUUUUAAUUGGUGGGGAAAGACCUGCCUGUAGUGCAGUGGAGAAUCCUUGGGAUCCUGGUUAUCUCCUGGCCCUCUGGGCAUUUUGUAUUAACUGUAAGUCACAAGUACUAGCCUGUCUGUGGCAGCAUCCAGGAAACAGAAUCAUGGCAGCUACACGAGAAGCCUCCCACAUGCAGGGUUUCUCUGACGUCUCAUGGUGAAGGACAACAUAUCUAACCUUGUUCUGAGCGAAACGGACAUGUACUUCCAAGUGGCUUGAGAAUCUCUUUAGUUCUAUAUUUAGUCAGUUUACAAGGAGUUUGAGAUGGAUUUUACUGUUUACCAAGGCCUUUCUUGUGUGUCCAUCAUAGUACUUAGGACUGGAAAUCUGUGCUAAUCUCUUGUGAGUUUCCACUUGCAGGAUGCCACUUUGAUAAAAUGUAGAAAUCUUC